AUUGAACGCUGGCGGCAGGCCUAACACAUGCAAGUCGAGCGGAUGACGGGAGCUUGCUCCUUGAUUCAGCGGCGGACGGGUGAGUAAUGCCUAGGAAUCUGCCUGGUAGCGGGGGACAACGUUUCGAAAGGAACGCUAAUACCGCAUACGUCCUACGGGAGACAGCAGGGGACCUUCGGGCCUUGCGCCAUCAGACGAGCCUAGGUCGGAUUAGCUAGUUGGUGGGGUAAUGGCUCACCAAGGCGACGAUCCGUAACUGGUCUGAGAGGAUGAUCAGUCACACUGGAACUGAGACACGGUCCAGACCCCUACGGGAGGCAGCAGUGGGGAAUAUUGGACAAUGGGCGAAAGCCUGAUCCAGCCAUGCCGCGUGUGUGAAGAAGGUCUUCGGAUUGUAAAGCACUUUAAGUUGGGAGGAAGGGCAGUAAGUUAAUACCUUGCUGUUUUGACGUUACCGACAGAAUAAGCACCGGCUAACUCUGUGCCAGCCGCCGCAGUAACAC
rnacentral:rRNA from 1 species